GGAAGUAAAAGUGUAACAAGGUCUCCGUAGGUGAACCUGCGGAGGGAUCAUUACAGAGUUCAUGCCCUACCGGGUAGAUCUCCCACCCUAUGUUAUUAUUACUUUGUCGCUUUGGCGGGCCGUUAGGCUCCGGCCCGACUACCGGCCCCGGCUGGUAAGCGCCCGCCAGAGGACCCAAAACCCUGAAUAUUAGUGUCGUCUGAGUACUAUAUAAUAGUUAAAACUUUCAACAACGGAUCUCUUGGUUCUG
rnacentral:misc_RNA from 1 species